CCCGGUUGAUCCUGCCGGACCCGACUGCUAUCGGAGUGGGACUAAGCCAUGCGAGUCAACAUAGCAAUAUGUGGCAUACGGCUCAGUAACACGUAGUCAACAUGCCCAGGGGACGUGGAUAACCUCGGGAAACUGAGGAUAAACCGCGAUAAGUCACUGCUUCUGGAAUGGGCAAUGACUUAAAUCUAUAUGGCCCCUGGAUUGGACUGCGGCCGAUCAGGCUGUUGGUGAGGUAAUGGCCCACCAAACCUGUAACCGGUACGGGCUCUGAGAGGAGGAGCCCGGAGAUGGGCACUGAGACAAGGGCCCAGGCCCUAUGGGGCGCAGCAGGCGCGAAACCUCUGCAAUAGGCGAAAGCCUGACAGGGUUACUCUGAGUGAUUUCCGUUAAGGAGAUCUUUUGGCACCUCUAAAAAUGGUGCAGAAUAAGGGGUGGGCAAGUCUGGUGUCAGCCGCUGCGGUAAUACCAGCACCCCGAGUGGUCGGGACGUUUAUUGGGCCUAAAGCAUCCGUAGCCGGUUCUGCAAGUCUUCCGUUAAAUCCACCUGCUUAACAGAUGGGCUGCGGAAGAUACUAUAGAGCUAGGAGGCGGGAGAGGCAAGCGGUACUCGAUGGGUAGGGGUAAAAUCCGUUGAUCCAUUGAAGACCACCAGUGGCGAAGGCGGCUUGCCAGAACGCGCUCGACGGUGAGGGAUGAAAGCUGGGGGAGCAAACCGGAUUAGAUACCCGGGUAGUCCCAGCUGUAAACGAUGCAGACUCGGUGAUGAAUUGGCUUUAUGCCAAUUCAGUGCCGCAGGGAAGCCGUUAAGUUUGCCGCCUGGGGAGUACGGUCGCAAGACUGAAACUUAAAGGAAUUGGCGGGGGAGCACCACAAGGGGUGAAGCCUGCGGUUCAAUUGGAGCAACGCCGGAAAUCUUACCGGGGGCGACAGCAGAAUGAAGGUCAAGCUGAAGACUUUACCAGACAAGCUGAGAGGAGGUGCAUGGCCGUCGCCAGCUCGUGCCGUGAGGUGUCCUGUUAAGUCAGGUAACGAGCGAGACCCCUGCCUCUAGUUGCUACCAUUAUUCUCAGGAGUAGUGGAGCUAAUUAGAGGGACUGCCGUCGCUGAGACGGAGGAAGGAGGGGGCUACGGCAGGUCAGUAUGCCCCGAAACCCUCGGGCCACACGCGGGCUGCAAUGGUAAGGACAAUGAGUAUCGAUUCCGAAAGGAGGAGGCAAUCUCUAAACCUUACCACAGUUAUGAUUGAGGGCUGAAACUCGCCCUCAUGAAUAUGGAAUCCCUAGUAACCGCGUGUCACUAUCGCGCGGUGAAUACGUCCCUGCUCCUUGCACACACCGCCCGUCGCUUCAUCGAAGUUGGUUCUUGGCGAGGUGAUGCCUAAUUGGUACUAUCGAACCUGGGGUCAGCAACGAGGGAG
rnacentral:rRNA from 1 species